AUGCGGAUGCUGCGCACCUUGUAUUUUCUGUGUAUGGUAACACUAUCUGCGGGAUUGCCCAUGGGCACAGUUAUUCGGUAUGAGUACAAUAGUGUGUUCGGCGAGGAAGAGACAUUUCAAGAGAGAAUCUUCAUUAACGGAUCCCCCGUCACACCCAAUGGCAAUGGAGAUGUUCGUACUGGAGUAAUCGACGUAAUGUCCUUCAACAAUGGCAGUUCAUCUCUACACGAUUCUCUCAGGGUUUUUGCAAAUAGUUUCAACAAAACAAAAAAAGACCACACUUACCAGCGUCUUCGAGAGUGCAAAUUUAAUGGACACCAAGUGAUGCAUAUAUCUGACCGGAUCAAGCACAAUGGGAAAGAUUAUUUGUCUCUGGACCAAACGACAGACACCUGGGUGGCCUUGGACCCGCAGGCCGUUUUCCUGAAAAAGGAGUUGGACCGCGACAGUGAACGCACAGUGCGUGACAGGAUGUGUUUUCAGGAGGCCUGUACGGAGUUGAUGAAGGACCUAAACCACUCGUACUCUGCAUCCAAAGGGGGUUCAGCUACAGUUUUAGCCCCACUCCUGGCAGUACUUAUAUUAUUUGGUCUGGUCAUUCUCAGCGUUAUGUCUAAACACAAUGUCAAAGGUUCUGCUUCACCAGCAGGGGUUCUGGGUUCAAUAGUCCACUAUCCAGCUCAAACCUCAGACACUGUCAAGGAACCAGCUAUACAACCUUCCCUCUCCAUCAAAGCAUCCUUACUGAGCAAUAUGCCUUGAUUCCAGUAUGUGUAGGCAGAAUUUGAUGUAAGUUCCAGUCAUUCAUAGAAAUCCUGUGAGGCUCUGCUGAUACAUCCUGGUUUCCUACCUCUAGUGCCUCUGUAGUGAUUUUUUUUUGUGUUAUGAUUUAUAUACAUAGCUUAUGGAAGCUGAAUUGCACUGCUAAGAUGUAUGUGGAAAUACACUUAUAACUUACAGAAAGGUUUUAUUCGAUUUGUUGCUUGAUGCUUGUGCUCCUGCCACAGCUACUCAUUACUGGCACUACUGAGUUCAUUAACUUAACAAAACUAACCAGGGAGGUUGAAAAUAAGUAUUGCACAAUUUGGUACUCCCUGAGAUGUUUAAUUCAAUACCUGUGGAUAGCUCAGAGCAAACAAAAUGCUCUGACAGCCAAAAAUUCUGUUUUAGAUAUGUACAAAUGGUAUUCUUAUUUCAGACCACUUUAUGUUUAAUAAAACAUAGAAAUGUUAUAGGGUUUAAUUGUUC
rnacentral:lncRNA from 1 species